UUUGUUUUUUAAAUUAUUAUUUUUACUUUAAUAAAAGAUAACUGCGGUGCCGCGGUGUGACAAAUCUAAUUUACAAUAAAUACAUAUUAUAAAAGCGAAUAAUAGCCGUUUUAUACAUAUUAUGUAAUAAACAUUAAUACAGCAGCUAUUUGCGACAACAAAGAACGAGAUCAUGACCUUAGGUGUAUAUAGUAGUUUACCGUAAUUCUGUGACGUAGUCCGGGGGCUAAUGGACAAUUCGGCGUCACAGUGCAGCGUCAGAGUAAUUAGUUAGACGCUUUAAUUACGUGUUUUAGUUCCUACAUUGUUUAUUUUUCUGAUGAGAAGUUUAAAAGUAGCGUAGCAGAGGCAGUUUGGAAACUGCCCCUGGACAAUGUAGGUGUCCUCGAGUAAACCCGAAUUCGGGGCUUCCCGCUUCAAAAGUUUUGACGUCUGUCAAAAGGAUCUACUUGUAACGGACACAGUAUAACCAUAUUCGAAAUACGACCAAUGGUAUUAGUCAUAUCUUUUUUCUGCUGCUAAUGACUAAUAAAAUUGUGCCUUUAGUGUAAAGUACCUAUAAUAUAACCUAACUAAUAAUAUAAUUACUUCAUUUAAAAAUGUGAUAUAAAAUUUACAGGUUUAUAUAGGCCAGUGCCGGAUAUAGCCAGCGCCGGGCCUGCCGCAAAUUCGGCCAGCGGUGCCCUUUGCUUUGCUUUAGGUUUUCAAAUUCUCUCGUUUCGAUUUCACGCGAAAGAUAUUUAACCGAUAAUCAUGAAACUUUUUACACAAUAUGUUCUAGGGCGGAUUAGAAGUAACAUAGAGAUCGUUUUACUCGGCCUAAAAAAGAGGAUUAUGCUUUACAGCGAUGUCCCAAGCGGGAGGAGCCGCGGGCGAAUGCUAGUUAUAAAGUAAAUGUCCAUUGGUAACGCUUUCUACGAUACCAUCCCGCUCUGGCUAGGUCUUUACAACAUAAACGGCUAACCGCGAUAUCGCUGUGAAAAAAUGUUUUUUUUUUUCGACUUAUAUAAUUAAUAGCCAUGUUCACCUUUGGAUAUUUAUCAAGGCAGGUAGGGUUUUGGUAAAAAUUAUCACGCCUUUGCUAUCGAUAUGUCAAAUAUGUCAAUGUCACUUGACUAACCUUGUCAAACAGAUACAUUUUGACUCAGUUUGAGCGCUUGAGCUAACUUCAAAAUUUAUCGAACCCUGGCCGUAAACAAGAAGCUAACAAAUUUUAAUUAUAGUUUACUUAUCUUUUGGUACACCCUUCCUCAGCAUACAUUAACAGAACUCCAUACAUUUGGCUAUAAGGAUUGAGGAUCUAAAAGUAUAUAUACCUGAUCGUAAGAUUCGACAUAGCAAAUAGUGUUAUUCUGUUUGAAUUAUGUCAAGUGUGGGUGCAGGCUGGUGGUACGGUAUUUUCUUGGAUGCCUAUACUUAUUCGACAAACUAUUUGCUUUUUACGAUAACGAUCUUAAUAACAUCCGUACUGUUUUUGUGGAUUUAUGAAAAACCUCAGUUUUAUAAGUUAAUAUUCAAAAGAAGUAAACAUUCCAUUAUUAUUGUGAGCUCCACUCAAAGUGAAGAAGCUCUUGAAAAUUACAACGCAACUCUUUUGGACCAUGAAAUAACAAAUAAUCAAGAUGAAAAGAAGAAUGUUCAACUUGUACCUGAUUCAGAAUCUUGUCAUUAAAUUAAAUUAAUUUAUAACUG